UGUGUAGGCGGAUAUGUAAGUCAGAGGUGAAAGCCACCGGCCUAACCGGUGAACUGCCUUUGAUACUGCAUAUCUUGAGUCCUGGAGGGGUCACUAGAAUUCGUGGUGUAGCGGUGAAAUGCGUAGAUAUCACGAGGAAUACCAGAGGCGAAGGCGGGUGACUGGACAGGUACUGACGCUAAGGCACGAAAGCGUGGGGAGCAAACA
rnacentral:rRNA from 1 species